rnacentral:rRNA from 1 species
CGAAGGGGGCAAGCGUGUUCGGAAUUACUGGGCGUAAAGGGCGCGUAGGCGGCUUAUCAAGUCAGGCGUGAAAUUCCCGGGCUCAACCUGGGGGCUGCGCUUGAUACUGAUGAGCUUGAAUGCGGGAGAGGAUAGUGGAAUUCCCAGUGUAGAGGUGAAAUUCGUAGAUAUUGGGAAGAACACCGGUGGCGAAGGCGGCUAUCUGGCCCGUAAUUGACGCUGAGGCGCGAAAGCGUGGGGAGCAAGCAGGAUUAGAUACCCUGGUAGUCCACGCCGUAAACGAUGAAUGCUUGACGUUGGCGAGCAUGCUCGUCAGUGUCGGAGCUAACGCAUUAAGCAUUCCGCCUGGGGAGUACGGUCGCAAGAUUA